rnacentral:rRNA from 1 species
UACAGAGGUCUCAAGCGUUGUUCGGAAUCACUGGGCGUAAAGCGCACGUAGGCGGACUCUUAAGUCGGUGGUGAAAUCCUGGAGCUCAACUCCAGAACUGCCUUCGAUACUGAGAGUCUCGAGUCCGGGAGAGGUGAGUGGAACUGCGAGUGUAGAGGUGAAAAUUCGUAGAUAUUCGCAAGAACACCAGUGGCGAAAGGCGGCUCACUGGCCCGGUACUGACGCUGAGGUGCGAAAGCGUGGGGAGCAAACAGGAUAGAAACCCA